GACGAACGCUGGCGGCGUGCUUAACACAUGCAAGUCGAACGGAAAGGCCCUGCUUGCAGGGUGCUCGAGUGGCGAACGGGUGAGUAACACGUGGGUGAUCUGCCCCUUACUUUGGGAUAAGCCUGGGAAACUGGGUCUAAUACUGGAUAGGACCAUGCUGUAGGGGGUGUGGUGGAAAGAUUAGUUUCGGUAAGGGAUGAGCUCGCGGCCUAUCAGCGUGUUGGUGGGGGAAUGGCCUACCAAGGCGUCGACGGGUAGCCGGCCUGAGAGGGUGGACGGCCACAUUGGGACUGCGAUACGGCCCAGACUCCUACGAGAGGCAGCAGUGGGGAAUAUUGCACAAUGGGCGCAAGCCUGAUGCAGCGACGCCGCGUGGGGGAUGACGGCCUUCGGGUUGUAAACUCCUUUCAGCCAUGACGAAGCCCUUGUGGUGACGGUAGCGGUAGAAGAAGCACCGGCUAACUACGUG
rnacentral:rRNA from 1 species